CCCUAUGGGGUGCACGGGAUCAUUGUCGAAGAACCUGACCGGGAUGACGACUAUUACAAGAGGCUUGCGGCGGUCUUCCUGAGGCCCGAGGGCAUACCGAAGGAACUGCACGAGGCGCUGUACUAUAUCAAGGGGCUUGACAGCGACAACGGGUUGAACCGGAUCGCCCAGGCGGUGAAAGCGGGAAAGCUGGCCAUCGAUAUGUCGGAAGACUCGUCCACGGCGGAUAAGUCGCUGCAGGCGUGGCUGCAGGAUGCGGAGCGGGUGCGGAACCUUCACAUCGAGGUCGGGCUGGACGCGGGCAAGUCGUUCACGCAUUUCAAACCCCUGCGCGGGCCGGUGCCGCCGAUGGCGGACUUCCGAGCGGCGAAGGGUCCGUUCGAGAAAGAGCUGGCGGCAGUCUUCAAGGAACACGGGCGGGGGGGC
rnacentral:rRNA from 1 species